CCAGCUCCUGAAGUUCUGCCAUUCCCCGUGGUCUGCAGUUCAGGAAGCUUCUGGAACAUGCGGCGCCUCUGCCAUGGAAACACGAUCCGCGUCGUCAGCUUCAGAUGUGAUCUUGGAACGCUGGUAAGAGCAGGACCCACAGGAGUCUGUGCCCGCUUUGCCCUAGGCUGAAAGUCAGUUGGACCCUCCACCCACUUCAAACUCUGAGUCUGUAUGGAGCCUGCUGUGGUCCUCACAAAAGGUCCUGAGGAGAUCACCGGAGUAUGGAGGCUCUCCUGUCUGUUAGCUUUAUGUGGCUGUGUCCUCUGUAGCCCCUGAAGAGUUGCUUUAAGACCUCUAUUACACUCUUCUUGGUUAUCAUCCAAUGGCUUCCUAGCCAACCCACGUUGUGGCUCAGGAGCAGGUUUGUGGACAACGGUAUCUCUCCUUUGCUUCACAGUGCCUGGACUCAGUGUCCAGUGACUUUCCUGUGUGCUAGCCAGCUCCUUUCUAAAGAAUACACAGGAGAGCCUUUCCCAGGGAGAGAGAGGGGUUGGGGCUUGGACACAGCAGACUCGAGCUGGGGUUUCACAGCUGUGACCCAGCACUUUGGGAGUCAGGUGUAAGGGCACUGACGGGAAUCUGAGGUCAGUUUGACCUAUAUAGUGAAACUCUGUCAGAGACAAAGCUAGAUGAGAGCCACCAGAGCCGAACCCUCUCGGGACCAGCCUGUGGUUCAGCACAAGUUCGCCUUGGCAGCUGUCUGAAAGUUAAUCCUGUGAAGGGACCUGAAGCAGCCCUCUGAGGAAGCCUCGCGCACCCCUGCCGAAGAACAUCGCAGUGUGUUCAUUCCCCUUCCGUUGGCCUCAGGAUCCAAGCAGGAAAGAAGAGGGAAGAACUCUGAAGGACAUGAGAGGGACCCAGCUUACAGUCCAGGUGAGUUCCUUGUUCCAGUGGUUCCCAGACUGCCCUUUGAGAAUAAAAUAGGAGGCCAGAACCAAAGUCUUUUGGAUAAAACACCGCGACUGACCACACACUAACCCAUUUGGCUGCCCUCCUUCCCAAGGCACAGAUCAUCCCAGCAUGUGAAGGCCUCCUUCUCUCCCUCCCUCCUUCCCUUCUGACCCAUUUUCACUCUUCCACCACACAAUCAAAAAUAAAUAAAUAAAUGAAAAAAAAGCUCUCUUCAUCUAUGGUCUACUUAUACCUGUUUUUUUCUUCUUCCCUGACAGACAAUAUUUGAAAGUGUCUUUUGCAUUCUCCACGGAGUCUUCAAGUGCUGCAACACUGAGGGAAGGGCCGUGCCUAGUAGCUGUGUGUCACUAUGGACUCUGUGGUAUAGGAGAUGGGCUCUGGCCAGUUGCCUUUGAAGAUGAACUUCGUUUCCAGAUAGUUUUCACACAGGGCGGUAGGAGAUUUCUUACUGCUACACCUUCCACCCUAGCCCUGACCCUCGCCACCAGGCCGCCCAGCCAUAUUAGCUCAGAAGAUCCAUAAAGGGGCUGGAGCCCCAGUCCCCUCCCCUCUGCUUGAAGAUGUUAUUAAUUAGAGUUGUGCUAGGAUGCAGGAAUGACCUUGGGAAGGGGCACUUGGUGACUAAGCAAGAAUGGGCACGGGUGUGCUGACUCACCACACCCAGCUUGCAGGGGAGGCUGACUGAGGACCACCCUCAGGGUGACCUUGGAGGUCUGCAGGCUCAGCUCCCGCAUUGCCUAGUCCUAUACCUGUCGGGGAAAUGGUAACUUCGGAACUUAGUAGGCAGACAGUUUCUGGAGGUAACAUAGAGACAUGAAGGGGUACACUGAGCUGGUCCCCAAGGGGGCCCCAGGUGAAGGUCACAGCCCUUCCUUUUCGCCUACGGCUGAGUUCUGGGUCCCA
rnacentral:lncRNA from 1 species